ACCUGUGAGGUCAACCAUCAUCCCUCCUGGCUGGAUGAAAUCUGAAGCUGCUGGUGCCUCAGGGUGCCCCAGGCUCUGCUCGUCAAAGCUGUGUGUUACUGAGAAACAGGUGCCCACCCUGGACCUCAGAGGAUGUGGAAGGGCACUGAGAAGCCGCGUGAAGAUUCAGUACUGCUGAUCGUCAAGGAGUAACAGCUGCUGGCCCCAGUCCUUGCAUGGUCUUUCCUCCCUUGUGGGCCUGGAAGUCCAGUGGGAAAGACAGCAGUGGAAUAAAAACAGGGUGUCUGGGUCCCAGAUUCCACUAGAGGAUCAGGGAGACCCCUUGGAGGAAACGCCAUCAACACAAGUUAAGCAGACAGAAGUUCGGGAAAAGCAUCUCCAGAGAGAAUACAUGUGCAAAGGCCCAGGGGUGCCUGGAAACACUUGGAAGAAGCCAAGGGCUGGAGAAAAGGUCCGGAGAGGGAGAGAGAAGACAGGGCCAGACAGCAGCAUUAAGCCAGGAAAGCCGGGAGGGGCUGGGAAGGGUCCGGGGAUGCCGAGACCCCGGUCGCAGGGAGGCGGCCAGCUGUCUGCAGACUCCUUUUGUGCCAGAGGAACGCGCUGAACGCCAUGUGCAAAGUGACAGGCCGUCUGGGACGUGCUGCGAGAUGGGGGUGUGGGGCUACAGAUGGAGCUGAGAGCUGACAAAUGCUGAAGUUGGGGGAUCGUUCUGUCAUUUUCCCUAGAUCUGGGGAUGUUUGAAAUUUUCCAUAAUAAAGAGUUACGCAGGAAAAAAUAGUCCAAGACGACCACGGUGCGGGGUGCCGCGGAGGUAA